ACUUAUUACUUUCUCUCCGGAGUUUUUUGUUUUAUAUAUAUAUAUAUAUAUAUAUAUAAAUAUAUAUAUAUAUAUAUAUAGAGCAUGAUGUAAUCCACAUGAGUUCCUUAGAUACAUAACUCAAUGAAAAAAACGAUGAGAUGUUCAACGACUUGAAAUUAUUGUGUAUCCAGCUGAUGAAGUGAAGAAUUUAAUGACAUCAUCAACUGACUAUGAAUCUUUGAUACCACAUCGAAUUGACAGCCAAUAUGUACAAUUAGUUGACUC